GUGGGGAAUAUUGGGCAAUGGGGGAAACCCUGACCCAGCAACGCCGCGUGAAGGAAGAAGGCUUUCGGGUUGUAAACUUCUUUUACCAGGGACGAAGAAAGUGACGGUACCUGGAGAAUAAGCCACGGCUAACUACGUGCCAGCAGCCGCGGUAAUACGUAGGUGGCAAGCGUUGUCCGGAUUUACUGGGUGUAUAGGGCGCGUAGGCGGGCUGGCAAGUCAGGUGUGAAAUCUGGGGGCUUAACCCUCAAACUGCAUUUGAAACUGCUGUUCUUGAGUGAUGGAGAGGCAAGGGGAAUUCCUAGUGUAGCGGGGAAAUGCGGAGAUAUUAGGAGGAACACCAGUGGCGAAGGCGACUUGCUGGACAUUAACUGACGCUGAUGCGCGAAAGCGUGGGGAGCAAACAGGAUUAGAAACCCGGGUAGUCC
rnacentral:rRNA from 1 species